rnacentral:rRNA from 1 species
AACCAGCACCUCGAGUGGUCAGGAGGUUUAUUGGGCCUAAAGCAUCCGUAGCCGGUUGCAUAAGUUUUCGGUUAAAUCUAUGCGCUCAACGUAGAGGCCGCCGAAAAUACUGUGCAGCUAGGGAGUGGGAGAGGUACACGGUACUCAAUAGGAAGGGGUAAAAUCCUUUGAUCUAUUGAUGACCACCUGUGGCGAAGGCGGUGUACCAGAACACGUUCGACGGUGAGGGAUGAAAGCUGGGGGAGCAAACCGG